CAGCGCUCUGGCCGGCGAAAAUGUUUUGAAGUACUUCUUCGACAAGCUGGAUGCUUAUGAACAAGCGCUCACUGAUUCUGAAGACGAUCUGAGCGACGAUGAAAGCGGCAUAAUAAGACUGAAUAAUAGCCCUAAUCUACAACUGAGCGAAGAUAAAGACAAGGAAGAAUGUAUCGGACUGGCGUCAGACGAGUUGGACCGUAAGAUAUCAGAGGCUAUAUCGAUAGUAACAUUUGAUGGGGAUAAAGACAGAGAAAUGGGGAAAAUCCGUAACUUUGACUGUAAAUGCUACACGAGGAGAAAAGAGAACUCUCUGUAUGGGAGACAGUCCUGUAGCCAGAAGCUUUCUCCAGACAUUAUGUACAACAUACGGCUGGAUUCUUUAGCUGUGGAAAAAGAGUGGCAGGACAUGCAAAUUAUUGGACAUUUAGAGGCAAACAGACGCACAGUGCAAACUUCGGAGAUGGUAACAUCCACAAAGAAGACCCCGACAAAGAGAAAGUGUGCCCGAACGACUUAUUUCAUUGGAGGCAACGAGAUCUGCAAGAAUACUUUUCUGUUUCUUAUGGGCCACCAGAUCCAGUCUGUAUCCAGGUCAGAGGGUCACUGCAGUCACCCGGAUCCAGUACGUAUCCAGCCCAGUUGGUGGAUCAGCACCUGGAAAGGACCUCUACAGCCCUGAAUGUCAGCGGAGACCAGGACAACUAGAUGAGCCCCAGAUACAGAUCCCCUGUAAAGACCUUGUCUCAGAUGACCACCGGGACAAGACCACAGGAACCUAAUUGAGUCCUCUGCACAUUCUGACUUUGCUGCAGCCUGGAAUUGAACUACUGGUUUCGUCUGGCCAGAGGAGAACUGGCCCCCCGACUGAGCCUGGUUUCUCUCAAGGUUUUUUCUCCAUUCGGUCAGCGAUGGAGUUUUGGUUCCUUGCUGCUGUCGCCUCUGGCUUGCUUGGUUGGGGACACUUCAUUUACAGCGAUAUCGUUGACUUGAUUGUAAAUGAUUGCACAGAUACUAUUUAAACUGAACUGAGCUGCAUGAUGACAUCACUGAAUUCAAU
ensembl:lncRNA